GGCCUCAUCGUCUAGGGGACUAGGACACCAGGCUUUCAUCCUGGGAACCCGGGUUCGAAUCCCGGUGAGGUCA
rnacentral:tRNA from 1 species